rnacentral:rRNA from 1 species
UACGUAGGGCGCGAGCGUUGUCCGGAAUUAUUGGGCGUAAAGAGCUCGUAGGCGGCCAGUUGCGUCCGCUGUGAAAUCCCGGGGCUCAACCCCGGGCUUGCAGUGGAUACGGGCUGGCUGGAGGCAGGCAGGGGAGAACGGAAUUCCCGGUGUAGCGGUGAAAUGCGCAGAUAUCGGGAGGAACACCGGUGGCGAAGGCGGGUCUCUGGGCCAUUACUGACGCUGAGGAGCGAAAGCGUGGGGAGCGAACAGG